AGACUGACCUGGACUACUUUAAAUAGUGUUUCUUAUGUAAAGAGAUUAUAUGAAAGACUAAACAUAGAUCGAAUAUUCAAGAUGCAAGUUGUUUUCCACAAUCGUUUCAGUAUACUGAAAUAUUUACCUGUAAAAAGAAAGGAUAUUUGGGCACAGUUAAACAUGGAUCAACAUUGAAAAC